AGCGAACGCUGGCGGCAGGCCUAAAACAUGCAAGUCGAACGCCGUAGCAAUACGGAGUGGCAGACGGGUGAGUAACACGUGGGAACGUGCCCUUUGGUUCGGAACAACACAGGGAAACUUGUGCUAAUACCGGAUAAGCCCUUACGGGGAAAGAUUUAUCGCCAAAGGAUCGGCCCGCGUCUGAUUAGCUAGUUGGUGGGGUAACGGCCCACCAAGGCUACGAUCAGUAGCUGGUCUGAGAGGAUGAUCAGCCACACUGGGACUGAGACACGGCCCAGACUCCUACGGGAGGCAGCAGUUAGGAAUCUUGGACAAUGGGCGCAAGCCUGAUCCAGCCAUGCCGCGUGAGUGAUGAAGGCCUUAGGGUUGUAAAGCUCUUUCAGCGGGGAAGAUAAUGACGGUACCCGCAGAAGAAGCCCCGGCUAACUUCGUGCCAGCAGCCGCCGUAAC
rnacentral:rRNA from 1 species